UGGCCCAACUAUCUCCUUGGAGACGGACUCAGCAGUGGACUGCACGUCCAAGAUAAGUCCUAAGAACAGAGACAAAAUUAAGUUCAAAUUGACCAACAUGGCGAGGCUGGGACGGACUAAGAAGUCUUGGCUAUGACAGUGGUAUUUUCCUGUACUGCCCUUCAAUGGGCUCUCACAGGCCUGAAACAGAUCCUUUAUGAACAUUUAAUGCAGACCUAUUUUAGCUAACGCUAGUUUCCUUAAUUAGCAAGAAACUUAUUUUAAAAGGUACCAAUGCAAUGAUUUUGUGGAAUGCCAUUAAAUUAAGGCAAAAAAAGACUUCAGGAAGAGAAAGGAGGAAACUCCAAAUCUUUUUUUUCAAUUUGUAUGGCAAUUUUUGUAACUUCCCGAAACCAGUAAUCCAACAUUCAUACCUACUUAAUCCAGCAUUUUUCAGACAAGUAUAGGGACGAAAAAACAGGCAUCGUUUGAACUUCUAUCUCAGCUAUGGUUUUCCUUCUUAACACCCUUCAGCCAAAAAGUUAAAUCUAUUUGUACAGAUUUAAACAUUAACUAUUUUGUAAUGUUUUUUUGAAACUGUUGACGAGCAUCAAUAAUGCAGCUGCAUUAUUGAAUAUUACGUUGUAGGACAAUAGACAUCAAAAACAAAGAACAUACAUUUUUGUGUUUGUAAUUUUUGCUUUUCCACUAUGAACAUACCAACCAUUCAAAACCCGUGUAGAAUAUUAUGUAGUAUGGAGAUGAUUCUACCGUGUUAUAGAUUUUGGGACGCACGACUUUUAGUCACAGAAAUGUUUAGAUAUUUUUGAAUUUCAUUGAUAGUAGUACAUUUAAGAAUUUAAAAGAAUUUAAUUUGAUUCAUUUAGUGUUGUGAUGAUAGAGCUGUGAUUUUACAGACAUUUAUUUUAUUCAUUGAAAUUAUUCCCGUUGGCUCAAAUGUGACAUACACUGUAACAAAUUGCUGUAAAUUUACGGUGCAUUUCUAACGGUAUCUUACAGUAUGUCAUAAUAACUAACAUUCAGUUAAAUUUCCAUCCCUUGCUUAUAAUUAACGGCCAAUGUCAUGAAUAAACAGUUAAAGCUGUCAAUUUACAAUAAUAGCAGACUACCGUAAUUCAACUGCACGUUACAUAUAUUUUAUGAAGUGGUGGAAAUACACAUACAAGUGCAGUGAAUCACAAUCCAUCUACAUCUGUUGUAGGUUAAUGUAUGGAAGCCCAUGUCAGCCACUGAAAAACAGGUCCUGUAAUUCAUCAUAAUGAGAUAGUAUCUCAUGAGAUAUGAUGAUGACUUUGACUUACACGACAUUACUAUACAUGCAGCUGUAACUUUUAUCCAAAACACCCAUGGUUUGACAUAAUUUUAUGUGGAGUAAUUGGGGGUUAGGUGUCUUGCUCAGUGACACUUCAACUUGGCACAGGGAGCAGCCAGGAUUCAAACCGCCAACCUUGUGCUGCACAGCACACCCUCCCUAUCCCAUGGACCGCCUUCGCUGUCGUUUCAGUGGCCCGGAAUGUAAAGAUUAUAAAUAUUUGUAUUAUUCAAAGUGUUCAUUACCUAAAAGUCAUUUGAGUGUUAAUCGUGACCGACUGCUCCUGAACGUGAUGUCAGACGCGUAAUCUUAGUUCAUCCAGAACACCUGUCAGUGCAGUUCAACAUCGGAGGAGUUUCUCAUUGCCUCGUCUCUCUAAGUAACGUUGGUAAGUGUUAUUUGCCUGGCAUGAUUAACAUGCUCUUUCAUUCUCUUUCCUUACAUCUUGUUGUCUUCCUCAACUUUGUCAUUUUAAUAUUUUACCAAUGACAGUGUUUCUAAAUAUUUAAUUUUGGUUUGUUUUACAGAGGCACUGGAUUAAGGACGCCAGCCGUUUGUUGCGGUCAAUUGAAAGUGUUCCAUAGCAUAUUAUUGCAGUUAGUUUACCUUCUUCCCAAUGAUUUUAUGAUUCAUUUUUUUAUUAUUGUAAACAUGCGGCAUAUUUUAUGUUUUGUUCUUGGUUACAAAGGCCUAACAUUUUUUUAUUAAAGGCAUCUAAUAAACUCCAACCACUAUGACCGAAAUGAGUUUGGUUGUCUUUCUUUCAUUUGUGGGGAAUUAAAUGCGAAAGUAUACGGUUAUAAGUAAACGGUAACAUUCUGGUAUUUACACAAAAACAGUAAUCGUAUGGUAACAAACUUUAAUCCAAUAUACGACAAUAUACCGUAAAUUACGGUAGGGCACUGUAAAAACAGUAAAUUACUAGCGUCGACUGCCAGUAAAUUGCAGUUAAUUCACAGUAAAAUUCAUUCAAGUUUACGGUAACAUAGAGUAAUCCAUUUUACGGUAACAUAGUGUAAAAAACAUUUACGGUAUUAUACCGUAAAAUAACAGUAAAUUCCUGGCGUCCUUGCUGCCAGUAAAAUACCGUUAAUUUACUGUGAAAUUGUGUACUGUUUACUGUGAAGAGUGUAUAUAUUCGUGACAUCAACCUUCCAUUUUCUCUUUAAAAAAGUCAAUUUUAUUUAUUAUCUAACUAAUACCUAAACAGCUGUGUUCAGUUGAAAGCUGAUUUCACCCUUUCAGUAUUGGAUGGUUGUAAGAGCCAAUUUUGAUGUAUGUAACGAGCUGAUUGAUGGGGCUGGUUUAGCCUAUAUAGGGGAGGAACCUAUGGGGGCUCGUCAGGUGUUUCCAACCAGAAUAGCCAAACAGUUUUUGACCGCACAUGCUGGGCGCACAUGCUGGGUAGUGCUACGUUACACACGCUGGGUGGAUGGUUAUAACGGUAUGGUAAAAAAGUUGGAAAAAUAAAGGGACUAAACAGCACAAAGGCUGCAGGACUGUCAUUCAUCUGGGACGAACAGCGGCGCGUCAAUUAGGGCUGUCGGACGAAAUGCCUCAGUGGCUUAAAGCGUAGGCUUAGCCUCUACCAUGGUACUGUGUUAAUUACCACCACAACAUCAUAGAGGGAGAACUUCGGCAAUGACAGGGCCAUUAACCAACGAUAAUGUCCAGAGUGCUUUUAGUUAACAUAACUGGUAAAAAGAGGUAAGAACUAAUAAUUCAACUAAUAUAAUUUUGAAUUGGAUGGAGGAAAGUCUGUCUAACCUUAUAUCCGUAAGAAAACCCGCAACCCCCCACGUCGACCAAAUUAACUAACCCUAACCCUCCUCAUGAAAAACAACAAAAAGUAUAAAAUAUGAUAUAUAUUAAAAUAAAAAAACAUUAACAAAAAUGGCCGACAUCUGACCGCCUAAGACUCUCCCACACUUAUUAGGGGGCUCUUACCUUGACACUCUCAAAAGUGUACUCUUCUGGGGCCUCAUUUAUAAAAGCUUGCGUAUGAUUUGCGCCAGAAGCGGAUGAAACAUAGGACGUGCAUACGCACAGAAAUAUUCAGACUUAUAAAACCGUGUGGCCGCACGUCCUACGCAGUUUUCCCUUAAUAAAUCACAAUCACUUCUAAAUGCAGCGCAGCUUUUGCGGCUUCAUGUCACGCAUACAUAGUUGCCCAUAUAUAGUCUGUGGAACGCCCACAAAUAUUCAUCGAUUGAGAAAUCAUGGCAAACACUGAGAGGAAAACGAAGAAACGUAACUUCACUCAGUGUGAAGUCGAAAUUAUCAUUGUCGAGGUGGAAAGGAGAAGUCAAAUGCUUUUUGGAGGGCACAGUAUGGGCAUUACUAAUGCCAAAAAGGCACCUGAGUGGCGAAAGGUUGUGCAGCCUCACAACCUCGGACUGUGGCCGAAAUAAAGAAAAAAUGGUCUGACAUCAAAGUGGAUGCAAAAAAGCGUUUACUGUCCCCUCUUGAUGAGAGACUGGCGGCAAUGAUUGGGGAUCGGGGACAGGGUCUGGGCCAACAUCGGCGUCGGGGGGGUCGAGGCACGUUUGGAAGCUGUGCCACAUUAUGUAGCACAGCACACGCCAGCACGAUUUUGCACACCUUUUCAGGAGUAAACAAUAACCUCCCUCCAGUGCAGUCGAGGCAGCGCCAUCUACCCUUAAACAGGUCGAUGGUGCGCUGCACUACAGCGCGAAUCCCAUUUGGAGUGACGCCGAGUGCGAAAAGUGGUCGGUGGUAGCUUCCUUUGUCCGGACGGCAGGUUCUGGUGGUCGGUGGCAGGUUACCUUUUCGGAGCGGCAGGUUGCAUUGGUCGGUGGUAGGUUCUUCCGGUGGCCGGUGGAAGGAUCCUUUUUCAGUGGAGACAUGGACCCGCCCCCUCCUCCUCAUGCAAAUGACAUGUUAAUCAGGAAUCAGGAAACCUUUAUUAGCCAAAAUAUGUCAAACAUACAAGGAAUUUGUCUUGGCGGUUAGUGCGCGACAGUAGACAGACAAGACAACAGUGCACAGGUAAUAAAAUAAAGUGGAAUGAAAUGCUAAUGCAAUGGGUUAGUAAGAAUAAGGCUAAGGCUAUGGGUUAGUAAAAAACAAGGGAAUAAAGUUAAACAAAUUUUAAAUAUUAAAAAGUUAAAAAGAAAAGUAUUAAGCAUAAAGUGCACUAACUAACAAGUAACAGACAAAGUGAUGAAUUGCAGUUAAAGUGGCAUGUGCAGUAUGAGGGGGA
ensembl:lncRNA